rnacentral:rRNA from 1 species
UACAUGGGGUGCAAACGUUGCUCGGAAUUAUUGGGCGUAAAGCGCACGUAGGCGGUUUGUUAAGUCGGAUGUGAAAUCCCUCGGCUCAACUGAGGAAGUGCAUCCGAAACUGGCAGGCUAGAGUACUAAAGAGGGUCGCGGAAUUCCCGGUGUAGAGGUGAAAUUCGUAGAUAUCGGGAGGAACACCGGUGGCGAAGGCGGCGACCUGGGUAGAUACUGACGCUGAGGUGCGAAAGCGUGGGGAGCAAACAGG